GUCUUCUCUGGGGCGUUUGGUCCUCCAGACCGCGUUCUUUAGAACUAAUAAUUUACAUCGUGGUCCACUUCAGCAUCUAGAUUGCAUAUAUCUUGUUUUCGUCAUUCUCUCUUUCCCACUUACGUCAAGUAACCUGAACGUAAAUAUCAAAGCGGUCGCUAUAAUUUUGCUUACAAAGGCUUUGAAAUUCUCUCUGCAGAUCAGUGGCUAACUCCUGUAAUCCCAACACAGAGAAAGGAUCAGAAGGUUAGGAUACGUGAACCCCCGCUCCCCGAAUCCUCCUCCUCGGCAGUGCUGGAGUGUGAAGUCCUUCACUUUCAAGAGGGCCAUUGCUUUCUGUGGGACUUCAGAUGUCUUUUGAGGGUGAAACCAGAGAACUGCCAGAAAGACCACAUGAAUCUGAUGGUCUUAUUGUUCCAGCUGCUCAGAUGAUUUCCAUAGGCAAGAAGCAACAGCGGUCCUUCCAUUUUUCUCCCAUGGUGGUGUGAGACCCCGACUUUAAAGUGUUUUUCCCAAGCUUGUUUUUCCUGAUCUCUAAAAAUAC